rnacentral:piRNA from 1 species
AAAUGAUGAUGCACUUUGGAAA